GGGGAAUAUUGCACAAUGGGCGAAAGCCUGAUGCAGCAACGCCGCGUGAGCGAUGAAGGCCUUCGGGUCGUAAAGCUCUGUCCUCAAGGAAGAUAAUGACGGUACUUGAGGAGGAAGCCCCGGCUAACUACGUGCCAGCAGCCGCGGUAAUACGUAGGGGGCAAGCGUUAUCCGGAAUCAUUGGGCGUAAAGGGUGCGUAGGCGGCCCUAUAGGUCAGAGGUCAAAGGCUACGGCUCAACCGUAGUAAGCCUUUGAAACUGUAGGGCUUGAGUGCAGGAGAGGAGAGUGGAAUUCCUAGUGUAGCGGUGAAAUGCGUAGAUAUUAGGAGGAAUACCAGUAGCGAAGGCGGCUCUCUGGACUGUAACUGACACUGAGGCACGAAAGCGUGGGGAGCAAAC
rnacentral:rRNA from 1 species